rnacentral:rRNA from 1 species
CCUACGGGGUGGCUGCAGUGGGGAAUAUUGGACAAUGGGCGAAAGCCUGAUCCAGCCAUGCCGCGUGUGUGAAGAAGGCCUUCGGGUUGUAAAGCACUUUCAGUGGGGAAGAAAGCCUUGGGGCUAAUACCCUCGAGGAAGGACAUCACCCACAGAAGAAGCACCGGCUAACUCCGUGCCAGCAGCCGCGGUAAUACGGAGGGUGCGAGCGUUAAUCGGAAUUACUGGGCGUAAAGCGCGCGUAGGCGGUCUGAUAAGCCGGUUGUGAAAGCCCCGGGCUCAACCUGGGAACGGCAUCCGGAACUGUCAGGCUAGAGUGCAGGAGAGGAAGGUAGAAUUCCCGGUGUAGCGGUGAAAUGCGUAGAGAUCGGGAGGAAUACCAGUGGCGAAGGCGGCCUUCUGGACUGACACUGACGCUGAGGUGCGAAAGCGUGGGUAGCAAACAGGAUUAGAUACCCGAGUAGUC